rnacentral:rRNA from 1 species
ACGUGGGUAAUCUGCCUUUUGGGGGGGAAUAACUGUCCGAAAGGAUAGCUAAUACCGCAUACGUCGGCGAGGUUUGCGGACCUUGCCGGGAAAGCCGGCCUCUCCAUGGAAGCUGGCGCAGAAAGAGGAGCCCGCGGCCCAUCAGCUAGUUGGUAGGGUAACGGCCUACCAAGGCUAAGACGGGUAGCUGGUCUGAGAGGAUGAUCAGCCACACUGGGACUGAGACACGGCCCAGACUCCUACGGGAGGCAGCAGUGGGGAAUAUUGGGCAAUGGGCGCAAGCCUGACCCAGCCACGCCG